AGGCUUGGCACAGUGCCUAGCAGGCAUUGAGCACUCAGUAAAUACAGUGGUGUCCCCGAGGUCACCACCAGUAUGAAUGGCCCAGAAUAUUUGCAAGGGAAGGAGAGCUGUCAGCUGACCAGCCGCACCAGGCCUGCCCCCCUGGGGCCUCCUGCGGAGCGGGCCGGCCCCUCUUGUCAGGGCGGUGCCCUUCACGCAGCAGCUCAGUUCUUGGGCCAGGACGGGACACUCCUUGCUGGGCCACAGCCUGGUCUCACCGUGGGCCUUGCUUUCAGGAAGGAGCCGCCCUGGGCAUCUAGCAACAUCGUCCCCGGGAGUGGACUGGCUUCUUGUGUGUCCCAGCACAGGGUCACUGGACAGGGAGAGGGAGUUCCAGGAGGGUACUGAAUCGGACUUAGAGGAACAGGCUUGAAGGGAGCAGAAGUGUUGGCCUGGUGAUGUCCCAGAGCAGCAGCAGGUGUGUGGGCGGGCGGCCAGGGCCUGAGGAGCACAGCCCUGCUGGGACUUGACCUUUGAUCAUCAGGGGGAGGAUUCUUUGAGGGUCCGCGGGCAGGUCUCCAGGAGAGUGCUCUGUUCUCGGGCCUCCUGUCAGCGCUGGGAAGAGAGAACAGGGCUGUGGCAGG
rnacentral:lncRNA from 1 species